CGGCAGCGCGAGAGAGCUUGCUCUCUUGGCGGCGAGUGGCGGACGGGUGAGUAAUAUAUCGGAACGUGCCCAGUAGCGGGGGAUAACUACUCGAAAGAGUGGCUAAUACCGCAUACGCCCUACGGGGGAAAGGGGGGGAUCGCAAGACCUCUCACUAUUGGAGCGGCCGAUAUCGGAUUAGCUAGUUGGUGGGGUAAAGGCUCACCAAGGCAACGAUCCGUAGCUGGUUUGAGAGGACGACCAGCCACACUGGGACUGAGACACGGCCCAGACUCCUACGGGAGGCAGCAGUGGGGAAUUUUGGACAAUGGGGGAAACCCUGAUCCAGCCAUCCCGCGUGUAUGAUGAAGGCCUUCGGGUUGU
rnacentral:rRNA from 1 species